UACAGAGGUCCCAAGCGUUGUUCGGAUUCAUUGGGCGUAAAGGGUGCGUAGGCGGCGCGGUAAGUCGGGUGUGAAAUCUCGGAGCUUAACUCCGAAACUGCAUUCGAUACUGCCGUGCUUGAGGACUGGAGAGGAGACUGGAAUUUUACGGUGUAGCGGUGAAAUGCGUAGAUAUCAGGAAGAACACCCGUGGCGAAGGCGGUUCUCUGGGACGGUACUGACGCUGAGACGCGAAAGCGU
rnacentral:rRNA from 1 species